UACGUAGGGUGCAAGCGUUUAAUCGGAAUACUGGGCGUAAAGCGUGCGCAGGCGGUUUUGUAAGUUUUGUCGUGAAAUCCCCCGGGCUCAACCUGGGAAUGGCGAUGAAGACUGCAAGGCUAGAAUCUGGCAGAGGGGGGGUAGAAUUCCACGUGUAGCAGUGAAAUGCGUAGAGAUGUGGAGGAACACCGAUGGCGAAGGCAGCCCCCUGGGUCAAGAUUGACGCUCAUGCACGAA
rnacentral:rRNA from 1 species